GACGAACGCUGGCGGCGUGCUUAACACAUGCAAGUCGAACGAUGAAGGGGUGCUUGCAUCCUGGAUUAGUGGCGAACGGGGGAGUAACACGUGAGUAACCUGCCCCAGACUUUGGGAUAACUCCGGGAAACCGGGGCUAAUACUGGACAUUGACUUCUUUACGCAUGGGGGGUUGUUUUAAGGGUUUCUGGUCUGGGAUGGGGUCGCGGCCUAUCAGGGUGUUGGGGGGGUGAUGGCGUACCAGGGCGAGGACGGGUAGCCGGCCUGCGAGGGUGACGGGCCACGAUGGGACUGAGACACGGCCCAGACUCCUACGGGAGGCAUCAGUGGGGAAUAUUGCACAAUGGGCGAAAGCCUGAUGCAGCGAGGCCGCGUGAGGGAUGACGGCCUUCGGGUUGUAAACCUCUUUCAGUAGGGAAGAAGCCUCUUGGGGUGACGGUACCUGCAGAAGAAGCGCCGGCUAACUACGUGCCAGCAGCCGCCGUAACAC
rnacentral:rRNA from 1 species